GACGAACGCUGGCGGCGUGCCUAAUACAUGCAAGUCGAGCGAAGUUUUUCUGGUGCUUGCACCGGAAAAACUUAGCGGCGAACGGGUGAGUAACACGUAAAGAACCUGCCUCAUAGACUGGGACAACUAUUGGAAACGAUAGCUAAUACCGGAUAACAGCAUUAACUGCAUGGUUGAUGUUUAAAAGUUGGUUUUGCUAACACUAUGAGAUGGCUUUGCGGUGCAUUAGCUAGUUGGUGGGGUAAAGGCCUACCAAGGCGACGAUGCAUAGCCGACCUGAGAGGGUGAUCGGCCACACUGGGACUGAGACACGGCCCAGACUCCUACGGGAGGCAGCAGUAGGGAAUAUUCCGCAAUGGGCGAAAGCCUGACGCAGCAACGCCGCGUGAGUGAAGAAGGAUUUCGGUUCGUAAAGCUCUGUUGUUAGGGAAGAAUGAUUGUGUAGUAACUAUACACAGUAGAGACGGUACCUACACAGAAAGCCACGGCUAACUACGUG
rnacentral:rRNA from 1 species